UUGAUCCUUUGACUAAGUGUCUGAGAUGUUUGUCCAAUGUACAUAGCAGACGGAUGCUUUCGGUACAUGAUAGCAUAAAGAAACACUCAAGAAAAGUUCAAAGGUGGGGGGGGGGUGACAUAAAUUUAAAGGAAGAAAUUACUCACCUUGUGCAGUAACAAUGUUUUUUUGAAAUGUGUGUUCCUGAGGGUGCUCCACUCAGGUGUUGGUGAAUCCUUGCACCAGUGAACAGAGAUUUUUAUCCCAUCAGUACUUUCUUGUGCUGCACAUGUGCAGCAGCUGUCUUGCACUGUUUUUGUCUGUUAGCUGUGUGUGCGGUGCAAGUCUCCCUCCAUUUCUUUUCUACCAGAAAUAUUAUCAUUGACUCCAGAGUAGAGGGGAGGAAGGGAGGGUAGUGGAGCACCCACAGGGGCACACAUCUCGAAGAACCAUUGUUACUGCACAAGGUGAGCAACUUCUUCUUCUCCUUUGAGUAUUGUCCCUGUAGGCGCUCCACUCAGGUGACUGAAAAGCAGUAGCCACAGUGGUGGCGGUGGGCCAUUGGAGUCAUCUGCUAGAAGAAGCAAGGAUGGUGUCACCCACAGAUGUGGCUGGCUAAGAACCGCAUGGUGAUCAGGUGAGCGAACACCGAGACAUCAUUUACCAGGUCAUAGAAGACCACGAUAGCAGAGAGAUGGACUCUUAUGGAGCUGAUGAAGAGCCCUGCAUUGCUGAGGUCCAUUAAAUAUUUGAAUAUGGUGUACCUCACAGAAGUGUGAUGACUGCUGAGGAGGAUCUGUUUCACUCUCUGGGAGCAGGCUCUUCUUGGAUCACCAAGAUCUUGUCAUCACUCAAGUAUCGAAGGAGUGAAUUCUCCGAGUCAGUUGUUGGAGGAAGAAGAAAAGAAAUAUGAAUAAUACAAAACAAAAAGAUAUCAAAUGUAAUCAGGCUGCACUUUUAUACUUAAGCACUCGAGCACACAUCUGUGUGAAAAUAAAGCUGCACCUUAU